CUUCUGUCCCUUCCAAGACCCGGCGACAGGAGGCAUGAGGGGCCCCCGGCCGAAAUGACAGUGCUGGCGCCAGCCUGGAGCCCAACACACCCGCUCCCCUGCAGACCUAUCUCCUCCUGCUGCUGCUGCUGAGCUCGGGACUCAGUGGGACCCAGGACUGCUCCUUCCAACACAGCCCCAUCUCCUCCGACUUCGCUGUCAAAAUCCGUGAGCUGUCUGACUACCUGCUUCAAGAUUACCCAGUCACCGUGGCCUCCAACCUGCAGGACGAGGAGCUCUGCGGGGGCCUCUGGCGGCUGGUCCUGGCACAGCGCUGGAUGGAGCGGCUCAAGACUGUCGCUGGGUCCAAGAUGCAAGGCUUGCUGGAGCGCGUGAACACGGAGAUACACUUUGUCACCAAAUGUGCCUUUCAGCCCCCCCCCAGCUGUCUUCGCUUCGUCCAGACCAACAUCUCCCGCCUCCUGCAGGAGACCUCCGAGCAGCUGGUGGCGCUGAAGCCCUGGAUCACUCGCCAGAACUUCUCCCGGUGCCUGGAGCUGCAGUGUCAGCCCGACUCCUCAACCCUGCCACCCCCAUGGAGUCCCCGGCCCCUGGAGGCCACAGCCCCGACAGCCCCGCAGCCCCCUCUGCUCCUCCUACUGCUGCUGCCCGUGGGCCUCCUGCUGCUGGCCGCUGCCUGGUGCCUGCACUGGCAGAGGACGCGGCGGAGGACACCCCGCCCUGGGGAGCAGGUGCCCCCCGUCCCCAGUCCCCAGGACCUGCUGCUUGUGGAGCACUGACCUGGCCAAGGCCUCAUCCUGCCAGGCAUGGUGGCGCGCCCCUGUAGUCCAAGUUACUCGAGAGGCUGAGGCAGGAGGAUCCCUUGAGCCCAGGAAGUGGAGGCUGCGGUGAGCCAUGAUCGCCCCACAGCACUCUGGUGUGGACAACACAGCGAGACCCUGUCUCACAAAAUAAAGUAAGCCCGGACUGAGUGCGGAAAGGCGGGCCUGGCGGGUCUGGUCUCCCCAUGCGGGCCACCAGAGGCCCUGCAGCCUUCAGUCGCUUGAAGGGGUAAUGGCGCUUCCACUCACAAACAUGGCGGACAGAGCGUGUGAACGAGAUGAACAGCCCCUCAAAAAUAUGGCCGCCGAGGCUGGACGGCCGUGCCCCAGCAGCACCGCCUCCGCGCCCCACGUGAUCUCUCGCCGGGCACAGCGCUGACCGCGGAGGUCCAACCGGAAGAAUGUCCGGAUUGGACAUUCGGAAGAGGGCCCGCCUUCCCUGGGGAAUCUCUGCGCACGCGCAGAACGCUUCGACCAAUGAAAACACAGGAAGCCGUCCGCGCAACCGCGUUGCGUCACUUCUGCCGCCCCUGUUUCAAGGGAUAAGAAACCCUGCGACAAAACCUCCUCCUUUUCCAAGCGGCUGCCGAAGAUGGCGGA
rnacentral:lncRNA from 1 species